GAAGGAGGGGAAGUUGGAGAGCAGCUGUUCUCUGGAAGUGAUUAAACCCUAGAGAGAUACACAUAAUCAUAGAAAAUGGAGAAAAAAAGAUGGCUUAGAAGCUCAAAAUCAGUUCCAUGCCUUUGACACUGAAACCACGUCUCCUCUGGUGCAGGAAGGACAUCUGUGUGUCAUGGCACUAGGGAGUUUUUAGGGUCAGUUUGGCUGACCUUUGAACCCACAGCACCCAGCCACGAAGCUCAACUCAUCGCUGUGGGUGCUUCAAACGUGGAGGGGGACGGUGAGUGAGUGAGAAGAAAACAUGCUGAACAACAGAAGCUUUUGGGGGUAGAUGGUGACUUUCGUCUUUUGUCAGUGCCACUCAGCCACCGUCCACCCAGAGAAGAGCCAUCUCUGUAGAAAGCAGCAGUGCCCCCCCCCCACCAGGAUGGUGGCUUGACAGGUGAGACAUGUGCUGAAUUCCAACCUCUUUGCUGAAAGUCAAUGGGAAAAUGUGUGACCUCCGCUCACUCUCUGGCUCACUGGGCCUUCAGCUGUGUCUUUUAAAGGGGAAUGACGUUUCCAGACCCUUGGGGAACCCUCCGGUUUUGGCUUGAGCAGCAAUUCUUGACGCUGGUGGUAGGUCGGAAUCUCCUGAGAGGUUUUCAAGCAUGCGAGUGCACAGGUGCGAUUGCACACACCUGAGUUUGGGUGAGAGGCACCCUGGACAAGCUCCCCCAGGGGAUCCAUAAGCGGGAAGCGGAGCCAAGACACCACCGCGUUGGAAUUUGAGUUCACCUGCGCUGGAGUAAUGACACUCACCCUGUAGCUGCUCCUCCACGUGCGACCCAGCAGGCAAACAGGGGGCUUUGGAAGGUGGAAAUGAUAAUCCCGUGGCUUACAGUAUUUGAUUGGAGUCAGCAUGUUUUACUUUUGCCAGUGGCUUCGAUAAGCCAAGAAAAUCCCAAGUGUGUAUAUUGAAAAGUUAUUUGGUUGGAUUAAAGCUUUAUUGCUUUUUGCCAACUUUUGAAUUGGGAGGGAAUGAUUAGUGUUGGAGAAAUGUCAUGAUUUCCUUUCAAGCAAGAUUUGGGUUAUUAUUUUUUGAAUCCCCAGCUCCUAGCACGGAGCCUGCCAUGUGGUGCUAUGCUCAAAAUGCUGACGUAAUUAUAGUGGCUGCUGCUCGCUGGCUCGUCCUGUAACAUUCAGCAUUUUAUUUAACCUUCACAACAACCAUAGGGAAUGGGUCAAUCAGGGUCUUCCUUUUAUAGGGUACGAGAGGCAGAAUUGUAGGAUGGGUCCACCAUUCUGCCCCGCCUUGUGCACGUCCUAGACGAUCCCCUCUUCUUGUACGCGACUACAAUGAGCUAUGGCUCCUGGGACUGUGUUACAGGAUGGAAAAGAUAAAGGAAUUUUGUCACUAAGGACCCUAAUCAGUUGAUUUUAAAGUGACCAAAGCGGGUGUAUCCGGGGUGGGCCUGACCUAAUCAGAUGAGCCCUUUAAAAGAGAGUCCAGGUCUCAAAGCCUGCUGGCCCUGAAGAAGCAAGCCACGGAGAGAUGGAAGGCUGCAGGGAAGUGGACCCUGCCCACAGCUUGGAGUCUCAAAUAAAACGUCCAGCAGAAGGCUCAGCGAAGUUGUGCCCAGAUCCCUGACCCACAGAAACCGUGACAGAAUAAACAGGUGUUAAGCCACCCAAUGGGUGGUCAUCUGCGAUGCAGCAAGAAAACCGUCAGCCCACGAGUGAAGGGAGAGCGAUGCGGAGAGGCUAAUGGACCGGUCAGCUGUUAAACAGGACUUGCUCUGGCCCUUAUAAAACGAAGCUCAGGGUCACCCGCCCGCUCGCUGGUUUUCUAUCAGGAGUAAGAGCGCCCGGGCAGCCCUGUCGCUCCGUACCUGUUCCCCCUGUCUUCCUCGGCAGGAGGAUCUCCACUCUGGGACGGAGCCUGAGUUUCCCAGCCCAAGCCACGCCAGGGUUUUGCAGUUGGAAUGAGCUCGACAGCUCUGGCUGGUGACAAGACCUCACCAAGUUGCCCAGGCUGGCCUCAAACUGACGAUGCUCCUGCCUUGGCCUCCCGAACCGCUGGAGUUACCGGCGUGCACCACUGCCGCGGCCAGGACAGUUGUUUUCCACAUCUGAAAGGCUGCGUUGUAGAGUUGGGAAUCAAACUGUUUGGCUCUACCCCAGUGAGUGGGAUUGGGACCUGUGAUGGAAGCUUCUGGAAGGGGGUUUGGAUUUGUCUACAGCACUCACAGCCCUAGUUGCCAGAGACAGGGGCCCAUUUCGGCAGAAGGUCCCCCCCUCGUUGUACUUUAGUGCAGAUUGAACUACCUCUUGCUGGACUUGGCACAGGGAUCCAGUAAUGUGCUCUUGUGUGGGGUUCUUUGGUGAAUCAGUUGAUGAGUUGUACAGUUAUUUAGCACCUACUAUGUGUCAGGCUUUAAGUGGUCAGACUAUAACCUUGAAGAUCUUGCUCCCCUAUAACCAUAAAGACCUAAUAAAAAAAAUCUCACCUAAAUUUUUUUAAAUAUAUUUUUUUCAGUUAUACAUGAGCAUAAUAUCUUUAUUUUGUUUAUUUAUUUUUAUGUGGUGCUGAGGAUCGAACCCAGGGUCUCACACCUGCGAGGAGACUGCUCUACCGCUGAGCCACAACCCCAGCCCCUCACCCAACUUUUUGAUUCCCGGAUGCUGUGUGUGUUGUGAGUUCCGUUCUGCACCAUGGAAGACCAGGGCACCAAGACCUGCAGCGAGUUUCACGUGCCACACAGCUCACUCUCUGAGCCUCAGAGCUACCUGCUUUCCUUUAUUUUCAAGUCUUCAGUUCCUUUCAGGUGGAAAAAAAAAAAAAGAACAACAACAACAAAACCCAAGUCGUGUCUGCCACGCCACCCAGACCCAGUUAGCAUGUUUGGACAGGAUGUGCAGUUGCCCAAUGUUGUCUGAAAGAUGUGUUUUCCUGACUCUGGACAAAUUGGAGCAGACUUUCCCUUUGAUGUGCAAUCUUCUGUCGUAACACACCACUCAACCAGUCAGGGUCACUCCAGGUGAACCGGGCGGGCACAAAAUCAUCACAUAGAGACAGGGGAAGGCCUUUUUCUUUGGGUUCUGUGACAGAUCUGCUGACGGAGAGGCCACAAGGAGGCGAGAAAGAGAGAGAGAGCAGGCCUUGAACUCGGGUUUUAUUGGCUGUUCCAUGGAAUAUUCUAUCCCCCAAAGGGCAAAGGGGUAGGAUUACAAAGGAACAGGUGAGUGUAACUCAGCCUCAGCAGGUGACAUCUACUCCAGGAGCCGUGCCUUGUUAUCUGAGCUUGGUAACACCCAAGUCACGGUGACCUGGCCCUGCUGUGCCAGACAGAAGGCAGUAAUUGUUCAGAACUCGGUGCGUCGGGACUUAAAGGUGUCUGCAUCCAGGGCAGCUCCCGACAAUCUUCCAAAUUGCCUGGUAUCCUCAAGCAGAGGCAGAUCACAUGCAGGGACUGUGGUUCCACGGCCUGUGACCCAUGGUGCUCUGGCUAGGGAGGGCUGUGGAUUCCUUGCUCAGUCACUCUCACUAUUCUCUGAGCUUGGAUCCCCCAGAUUGCUGCGGAAACCACACAUUUCCAAGCAAAACUAUUUCUUUUUAAAAUAUUUUUGAGUCUUUUUUUUUCACAUCUGUGGAUAUCUCCUGCAUGCUUAGGAAUCCUCAUCAGAUGAUGCAACUCAACCUAUCUUCUGCAGCGGGC